rnacentral:misc_RNA from 1 species
UUUCCGUAGGUGAACCUGCGGAAGGAUCAUUAUUGCAUAACCGAGGGUCGAGGGCUGUCGCUGCCCCGAGAGGUCGUGCACGCCCGAGUGCCCUCACCCACAUCCAUCUUACCCCUAUGUGCACCGCCGCGGGGGUGCCCCUUUAGCUUGGUCGGAGGGGGGCUUUCGUUUUCACACAAACUUUGUAUGUAGUGUAGAAUGUAUUUUUUGUUGUUGCUAUCACGCAAUCAAUACAACUUUCAACAACGGAUCUCUUGGCUCUC